GAAAGUGGAAAUGUGGAGAUCGUG
rnacentral:siRNA from 1 species